UGAGUAACGCGUGGGAACCUGCCCUGAAGUGGGGAAUAACGGCUGGAAACGGCCGCUAAUACCGCAUAUGCCCUGUGGGGCAAAGGCUUCGGCCGCUUUGGGAUGGUCCCGCGUCGGAUUAGCUAGUUGGUUGGGUAAUGGCUGACCAAGGCGACGAUCCGUAGCUGGUCUGAGAGGAUGAUCAGCCACACUGGGACUGAGACACGGCCCAGACUCCUACGGGAGGCAGCAGUGGGGAAUAUUGGACAAUGGGGGCAACCCUGAUCCAGCAAUGCCGCGUGUGUGAAGAAGGCCUUAGGGUUGUAAAGCACUUUCACCCGUGAAGAUGAUGACGGUAGCGGGAGAAGAAGCCCCGGCUAACUCCGUGCCAGCAGCCGCGGUAAUACGGAGGGGGCUAGCGUUGUUCGGAAUUACUGGGCGUAAAGCGCGCGUAGGCGGCGCAUCGAGUUAGGCGUGAAAGGCCUGGGCUUAACCUGGGAA
rnacentral:rRNA from 1 species